rnacentral:rRNA from 1 species
CAUGUCUUUUUGAUAAUAAUUUAAAGUCUGACCUGCCCUAUGAUAAUAAAAUUAUUAAAUGGCCGCGAUAUUUUGAUCGUGCAAAGGUAGCAUAAUAAUUAGUUUUUUAAUUGAGAACUGGUAUGAAAGGUCGAACGAGAAAAAAACUGUCUCAAUUUAAAUUUGAUUAGAAUUUUAUUUUUAAGUAAGAAAGCUUAAAUGUAUUUAAAAGACGAGAAGACCCUAUAGAGUUUUAUAUUUAUUGAAAUUUAAAAAAUUUAAGAAUUUUAAUUUUAUUGUUUUUUAAUAAAUAUUUGGUUGGGGCGAUUGGAAAAUUAAACGAACUUUUCUUUAUUUUUAACAUUGAUAUAUGAUUAAUUGAUCCAUUAUUUAUGAUUAAAAGAUUAAAUUACCUUAGGGAUAACAGCGUAAUUUUUUUUGAGAGUUCUUAUCGAAAAAAAAGUUUGCGACC